GGGGCCAUAGCUCAAUUGGUUAGAGCAUCUGACUCAUAAUCAGGUGGUUCAAGGUUCAAGUCCUUGUGGCCCCACCA
rnacentral:tRNA from 1 species